rnacentral:rRNA from 1 species
UGGAGACAGGUGCUGCAUGGCUGUCGUCAGCUCGUGUCGUGAGAUGUAGGGUUAAGUCCCGCAACGAGCGCAACCCUUUGUCUUUAAUUGCCAUCAUUGAGUUGGGCACUUUAAAGAGACUGCCGGUGUUAAACCGGAGGAAGGUGGGGAUGACGUCAAGUCCUCAUGGCCUUUAUGACCAGGGCUACACACGUACUACAAUGGCCGGUACAAAGGGCAGCGACACAGCGAUGUGAAGCCAAUCCCGAAAAGCCGGUCUCAGUCCGGAUUGGAGUCUGCAACUCGACUCCAUGAAGUUGGAAUCGCUAGUAAUCGUGGAUCAGCACGCCACGGUGAAUACGUUCCCGGGCCUU